rnacentral:rRNA from 1 species
AAUAUUGGACAAUGGGGGCAACCCUGAUCCAGCCAUGCCGCGUGUGUGAAGAAGGUCUUCGGAUUGUAAAGCACUUUAAGUUGGGAGGAAGGGCAGUCAGUUAAUACCUUGCUGUUUUGACGUUACUGACAGAAUAAGCACCGGCUAACUUCGUGCCAGCAGUCGCGGUAAUACGAAGGGUGCAAGCGUUAAUCGGAAUUACUGGGCGUAAUGCGCGCGUAGGUGGUUUGUUAAGUUGGAAGUGAAAGCCCCGGGCUAAACCUGGGAACUGCUUUCAUAACUGCUGAGCUAGAGUACGGUGGAGGGUAGUGGAAUUUCCUGUGUAGCGGUGAAAUGCGUAGAUAUAGGAAGGAACAUCAGUGGCGAAGGCGACCACCUGGGCUAAUACUACCACUGAGGUGCGAAAGCGUGGGGAGCAAAC